rnacentral:rRNA from 1 species
AGUGAACGCUGGCGGCAUGCCUAACACAUGCAAGUCGAACGGCAGCACGGGCAGCGUCCUCGUUUCGAGUUGGCGACGGGCGGGUGAGUGAGCAGUACAUACCCAUCUACUGUGUCUAGGGUAACGACGGUUACGCUGAUACACUAUAAGAUCAUAUGAUGAACGGGUGGGAUCGCAAGACCUUCUGCGUUUGGGGGUGCCGAUAACUGAUUAGCGAGUUGGUAGGGUAAAGGGGUACCAAGGCGACGAUCAGUAGCUGGUCUGAGAGGAUGACCAGCCACACUGGAACUGAGACACGGUCCAGACUCCUACGGGAGGCAGCAGUGGGGAAUUUUGGACAAUGGGCGCAAGCCUGAUCCAGCAAUGCCGCGUGAGUGAAGAAGGCCUUCGGGUUGUAAAGCUCUUUUGUUAGGGAAGAAAAGGUAGAGGAUAAUAUCCUCCGGUAAUGACGGUACCUAAAGAAUAAGCACCGGCUAACUACGUG